rnacentral:lncRNA from 1 species
UGAGCCAAGAUCGCAGCCUGGGUGACAGAGCAAGACUCCAACUCAAAAAAAAAAAAAAAAAUGUGCCAAUGUCAGCGUCCUACAGGAAUAGCUGCCCUCCAAGUCCCACCUGUGCCCCCACUUCUCCUAUGUGCACAUUUGUCAGCAUGUGCAGAGGUAUACAGUCCUGCUUACCACACCUGCCAUGGGCUCUAAACAGGACAGUACAGCUGGGGUUUGAGAAGGGGCUGCCUGUGUGCUCCAUCUCACCAAAGGGAAAACCACGCACAGAUCUGGCCCCUGUUGGUUUAGUUUAGGAAGGUAAGGA